CCUGAUCACGUUAUUUAGCGUUUAUGUAAACACUAUGUUUGGAUUCAUCAAAAGUAAUUCAAAACAGUGUCCAUGUAAACGUAGCUAAUGCAAUUCUAUUUAUACAUAGAGUGCAAAUAAUUUACUUGCACUAUAGAUGAUGACAUAAUUACUGAUAUAGGAUUCAGAACUUCAGUAUGGAAUUCCAGAGCACACUAUUCUUUAUCCUAAUAUUUUCUGACCAUUUUCAGGUAAAAUUACACAGAGGAAAAAACCCUGGCAGCAGACAGAGGUGCAGGCGGUGGAAAGACACAUGAUGCAUUUCAUCACAUCUUGUACUGUACCAGCAAAGAGUGACUGUGAGAAGUGUUUAAAGGCUGAACCAGAAGCUCUGAAGAACCGGGACUGGAAGAACUUGAAGUUCUUCAUAUAUAACCGCAUUACUGCUUAUAAAAGGAAUUUGCAAUGCAAGAUUACCAACUCUGGCAAUAUUGCAGUUGAAACAUCAAACAAUCAAACCAAAAAGUGAAGAUGACUAUAUGGACCACUACAUGGAGAGUGAAACUUCAUCACUAGCAUCAGUAGCACCAUUUACAGGCCAAAAGCCUCUCUGCCAUUGCAUAGGACAACCCAGCCCAUGCUUGAUACAUCAAUGGACUAUAUCCACAGAACGUUCUUAAUAACUUCUGCAAUAAUAUAAGCCAGCUGGAAAACUUACGGUGAAAUGUCACUUGUUGGUGUGUCCAUAUCUUCAUUGUUCUGAGGCAGCUUUAAAAGCAUCGAUAUUCAUCAAUAUUAAUAGUUUAUAAUCAGAAUAUAGUCACUUAAAUAGGCAGUUCUAGCAUUAAUUUAGUUAUUCAAAGUAAUGUAAGACAACAUAAAAAAGACGCACCCCUCAGUGUUCCUCAGCAAAAUUCAAUUCGACAAUCAGUUUUCACACUUUAAUGUAAAAAAAAGUCAACACUGUAAAUUAAAGAUUUUUUUGUGCA